GUAGGUGGCAAGCGUUGUCCGGAAUUACUGGGCGUAAAGCGCGCGCAGGUGGUUCUUUAAGUCUGAUGUGAAAGCCCCCCGGGCUCAACCGGGGAGGGUCAUUGGAAACUGGGGAACUUGAGUGCAGGAGAGGAAAGUGGAAUUCCACGUGUAGCGGUGAAAUGCGUAGAUAUGUGGAGGAACACCAGUGGCGAAGGCGACUUUCUGGCCUGUAACUGACACUGAGGCGCGAAAGCGUGGGGAGCAAACAGGAUUAGAUACCCUGGUAGUCCACGCCGUAAACGAUGAGUGCUAAGUGUUGGGGGGUUUCCGCCCCUCAGUGCUGCAGCUAACGCAUUAAGCACUCCGCCUGGGGAGUACGGCCGCAAAGACUG
rnacentral:rRNA from 1 species